GAGAGAGUGAGGAGCCAGACGACAAGCACACACUAUGGCGCUGAAACGGAUUAAUAAGGAACUUAGUGAUUUGGCCCGUGACCCUCCAGCACAAUGUUCUGCAGGUCCAGUUGGGGAUGAUAUGUUUCACUGGCAAGCCACAAUUAUGGGACCUCAUGACAGACCAUAUCAAGGCGGUGUAUUCUUUUGGACAAUUCGUUUUCCUACAGACUACCCCUUCAAACCAUCUAAGAUGAUCCCCUAGUGCCAGAGAUUGCACGGAUCUAUAAAACAGACAGAGAUAAGUACAACAGAAUAUCUCGGGAAUGGACUCAGAAGUAUGCCAUGUGAUGUUACCUUAAAGUCAGAAUAACCUGCAUUAUAGCUGGAAUAAAC
rnacentral:lncRNA from 1 species